rfam:Gorilla gorilla gorilla genomic chromosome, chr15, whole genome shotgun sequence
GCCAGGUGUGGUAGCACACACCUGUAAUCCCAGCUACUUGGGAGGCUGAGGUGGGAGAAUCACUUGAGCCCGGGAGGCAGAGGUUGCAGUGAGCUGAGAUCAUACCACUGCGAUCCAGCCUGGGCAACAGAAUGAGACCCUAUCUCAA